rnacentral:rRNA from 1 species
UACGUAGGGUGCAAGCGUUAAUCGGAAUUACUGGGCGUAAAGCGUGCGCAGGCGGUUGUGUAAGACAGAUGUGAAAUCCCCGGGCUCAACCUGGGAACUGCAUUUGUGACUGCACGGCUGGAGUGCGGCAGAGGGGGAUGGAAUUCCGCGUGUAGCAGUGAAAUGCGUAGAUAUGCGGAGGAACACCGAUGGCGAAGGCAAUCUCCUGGGCCUGCACUGACGCUCAUGCACGAAAGCGUGGGGAGCAAACG